rnacentral:rRNA from 1 species
AGUGAACGCUGGCGGUAUGCCUAACACAUGCAAGUCGAACGGUAGCACAGUAAUAUCGUGCUCUGGCUGGGUGCGAGUGGCGUACGGGUCAGGAAUGCAUCCUACUCUACUCUUUCGUGGGAGGUAACGAAACGGAACUUACUCUAAUACCUCAUACGACCUACGGGUGAAAGCAGGUGAUCUUGGUACCUUGCGCGAGGGAAUGAGCCGAGGUCGGCUUAGCUAGUUGGCGGGGUAUAGGCCCACAAAGGCGCCGAUGCGUGGCUGGUCUGCGGGCAUGAGCAGCCGACCUGGAACUGAGACACUGUCCAGCCUCCUACGGGAGGCAGCAGUGGAGAAUAUUGGACAAUGGGAGCAAGCCUGAUACAGCAAUACCGCGUGGGUGAGGAAGGCCUUCGGGUUGUAAAGUCCUUUUGUUGGGAAAGAAAAGCAGCAGGUUAAUCACCCGUUGUUCUGACGGUAGCGAAAGAAUAAGCACCGGCUAACUACGUG